UGGAGACUUUAGUUACAGGUAGUUCUCCCGUAACACGUAAUUAUUAAAUGUGAUUUAGCUGUCACGUGAUUAGUGAAUUGCCGCCUUUUUUUAAAUAAAAUGAACUCCUGAUUGCUGUUAUGCGAUUCCAUCCCCAGCACUUACCUGAACAGCAAAACCCAGCCUCAGGAUCUUCUGAUCUGCAAAAUCCAAAUUCAACGUGUGUUCAGCUAACACAGGAAUGCAAUCAGCUGUGCAAGCCUUGAAGCUGGGAAUUGUUGUCUACAUUUAGAAGGAACUUUAUUUCAAACUGGGCGGGGGGGGCAAUCUUGAGGAGGACUGAACUUUGACAUCAGCAUCAUGUGGUCAGUCGGAUCGUGGACUUUCUGGUGGAGAGCUUCGUGAAAGGAAUCAUGGAUGAAUCUGAACUGACACACUGCUGAUGUUGAAUGAAUUAAAUGUAGUGGAUGAUGAAUGAGGACAGGCGUUUCCAGUUGGAAAUCUGACAGCUAUAUUACAAAGUGACAAGAACUCUCUCAGCUCUAUCCAUCUGAGAAAAGAUAUUACCUGCAGCAAUUCAUAUGUUUGAGCUGGGCUGUUGGAAUUCCUACUUCUCCGAUGAAGAGCUGGCUCUCUUCCACCAAGGUCACUUCUGCCUGUGCUGCAGUAGAAGCUGAUGCAGCCACACAUUGUGUGAACCAGUUAACGGGUAUUUUUGACCCUUGGAGAUUAUGAAGCAGCCAUCCAUCACACAUCUGUCUUGAUUUUAUUUCCAUUAUAUGUGAAGAUCCAUCUAUUCUCCUGAACAGAAGUUAGAGGAAAAUAUGAACUUCAAUUGUUUGAGUGAGAUGGUUGAUUUUGUUGGAUAUUUGUACUCAUUCAAGAAAGUAAUUAUGAUUUUUAAUAGAAUAUUUUCCUAUUUUUAAUGCCAAUUUGUAAAAUCAAUAUUCCCAGUUUUAAAUAAAGUGGAUGGGAUUAUUUUUAUUCUUCCUAACAAUUGUAUUUAAGUCCAACCUUUAAAGUACACUUGCUCUUACACAGAUGUUAAAGUUUUCCAUAUUUUAUGCCAGUUUUCUUGCUUAUAGCUCACUGAGUGAGAUUGCCAAUUUAAAUGAAAAUUUCUGUCUCAGCAAUAUGGCUAUCUGACUGUAUAAUAGCUCUUGAUAUAGUUUAUAAAGUGGUUCCCUGUUUUGCUUCAUAUGGUUUAGAAAAUAUUUUUAUCUUUUAAUUCCUGGAACUCCCUCUCUAAUGAUAUUGUAGGUGUACCAACACCAAAUGGAUUGUAGUGAUUUAAGGAGACUGCUCACCACCACCUUCCCAAGGGCAAUUGGCAUGGGCAAUAAAUGCUGGCCCAGCCAGCAACUACCACAUCACCAAUGCAGGGAAGGCUCAGCAAAACAUAUGCCAAAAAGGCAAUGGUGAGUCCAACAACGAGCCUUCACUUGGAAUCAAGACCCCAGGAGUGAAAGUCUCACCCAUGCGAGGGCUCUUGGACAGUACGACUUUUUGUU